rnacentral:rRNA from 1 species
UACGUAGGGUGCAAGCGUUAAUCGGAAUUACUGGGCGUAAAGCGUGCGCAGGCGGUUUUGUAAGUCAGAUGUGAAAUCCCCCGGGCUUAACCUGGGAACUGCGUUUGAAACUACAAGGCUAGAGUGUGGCAGAGGGGGGUGGAAUUCCACGUGUAGCAGUGAAAUGCGUAGAGAUGUGGAGGAACACCGAUGGCGAAGGCAGCCCCCUGGGUUAACACUGACGCUCAGGCACGAAAGCGUGGGGAGCAAACAGG